rnacentral:rRNA from 1 species
GACGAACGCUGGCGGCGUGCUUAACACAUGCAAGUCGAACGGAAAGGCCCUGCUUUUGUGGGGUGCUCGAGUGGCGAACGGGUGAGUAACACGUGAGUAACCUGCCCUUGACUUUGGGAUAACUUCAGGAAACUGGGGCUAAUACCGGAUAGGAGCUCCUGCUGCAUGGUGGGGGUUGGAAAGUUUCGGCGGUUGGGGAUGGACUCGCGGCUUAUCAGCUUGUUGGUGGGGUAGUGGCUUACCAAGGCAUUGACAGGUAGCCGGCCUGAGAGGGUGACCGGCCAAGUUAGGACUGGACUGAGACACAGCCUCCUAUGGGAGGGAAGGGUGGGGAGGGGAAUACAGGGGGAUGAGGGCUAGCGUGACAACGCCACGCGGGGGAAGUGGGGAAGGGGGUAGGGAAGCAAAGCCGUUUGACACGAGGCGGGAAUGACGGUAAUGGGAGAAGAAGCACCGGCUAACUUCGUG